GGGUAAUGGAUUCAUUUCCAAAAAUAACAGUGAUUUAGAGCUGUUUAUUUCUUAAAUUGUAAAAACAUAAAGUUAAUAUUUUCAGAGGUAAUGAGUGUCUUAUUGAGGAUUGAUCACUAUGUAUUAAACGAAUUAUUCAUUAUAUACAAAUAAUUUAAAAAGUAAUGUUCUAUUAUUAACUUAGGUAAUAUAAUUUAAGUACAAAUGUGAUACUAUAUUUUUUAAAUUAUUAAUUAUUUACUAGCUCGGAAUUAUAUGCUUUGUGAUAUAAAUAGAUUUCAUAAAAACGCAAUUUUUUUUUUAAGUAUUCAAAUAUUAAUUUUA